AAAAAGGAAAAAAAAAGUAUAUGGUGUAACUUGUUCGGAUUAUUCAAAAUAGACAAGUUUUGCUGGGUUUGCCUGAGUUUUUUCUGUUUGGUAAAAUAAUUCUAAUUUACACUCCCUCUGUAAAAUUCUAAGAGGCUGAGUAAAAGCGAAGCAUUCACACCAGCUGCCUUCAAAAGGAAACGAAGUGGCCAAAAUUCAUACAAAAAGCUGAAUUUGCAGCAGCCUUGGUCAUAGAAGUUAUAUAAAUUCUCCAUAUAGUAUUGUUCUCGUAUUCUUGUCUUGGGAAUUAGUCCAAGUGAAAUGUUGCUAGUCCAAAAACAAGGUAUAGAGGUGGUAGUGUUGUUUAUUUUUAAGUAACUUUAUUUUUGUUGUUGUUGUUAGGAGGGUUUGUUAGAGAAACGAGCAGAGAGCUGGGUGCACUUCAAUGUAGUGUGCAAAACUUAUUUUCAAGUGUGUUAACAAACUUGCUGCUUGACGAGCUAAGAAGCAGGAAACGAGACAAAACGAGCUUCAGAGGCCACUACCUGGAGCAAAACAGGCAGAAAUUGAAUUUAAUUUCUCCACUUGUCAGUAAAUAAAUUUUUCUAUAGCAAAACAGCAAAUAUUUAAAGAUGAUAAUAAAUAGGGACUGGCUACACUCAUACUGCAAGUCCUGCUUUGCAACAGAAGUACUAAUUUGGCUGAAACUGAGAAAUCCAUGCAGAGUAAUCAUAACCUACCUACUUGCAUGCGAAUAAUCUGAACUAACCAUUUCUAAAAACAAUUGAAAUUAAAAUAGGGACUGUUCUUGGAUUGAGUAAAUUUGUUUAAAUACUAAAUGGAGCAGUAAAAACUGUAAAACUUUAUCUUGAGCGAAAUAUAUUACAGUGCAACAAAUUUUAUGAACAUGUCGUGACUUUAGCAAUUCCAGCUUUCAGCUGGAAUCCACUUUUUCUCCUUAAUCAAAUCUGUCUGUCUUCAAGAAGGCUUUUUUAUUAUUAUUAUUAAUAUUAUUUUGCAGGAUUGUAUCAUAAAAUAAGGGAAAUUUAAGGGGAAAAAAUGUAGCUGAUUCUGGUGACUGCUAAUUUGUACUAACCAAAUCCAGCGAAGUGUAAAUUGCAGCUUUCCUCAGUGUUGUAACUAAUGUCCACUACACCCGAGGAGCUGCUGCUUUUGCUACCAGGACACCUCCUGGCACAGACCUAUUUGAGGCAGACACGUUCUGAAGGUGUUGUUCGCAUAAUGAAAACUGUACUAUAUGAUUAUUAGGGGCAGCAAAGACCACCUACAGGCAGUUAUCAGUUGAGGAAGAAAAAUCCUGAAUACAGAAAGCUCAAGGAUCCAGAGGAAAAUGAGGGAAACAGGAGUUUAUAUGAACAUUGCAAUUUGUGAUGAGUGAAUUGGUGAUUUUUUUUUUUCCUUUUUUUUUUCUUCUUUGUGAUUAACAGUUGUGGUAAAAGGUUGUUUUUUUUUAUUAAUGCAGUUAGAGUGUUUGGGUGACGUGUCUAAUAUGAUGGCAAAGAAAUAAAUAUUUUACAGACAGUCUAGGAACUCUGCACCGAGUGUAAUAACGCAUAUGGAUUCGGGUGGUGGUUUCUUUCUUUUUCUUUUCAUCCUGGUUCUUUUAAGAACAUAAAGAUUUCACAGGACACCUCUUUGAAUUUGUUCAUUCUUUCUUCUUUUUUUUUCUGUAUUUUUUACUCUAUUUUUUCCCCCUCCUUGUACAAAAGCAAUUACAUUCUUGUUAAUGAAAAUCAGGAUUAUAUUGCAAGGCAAAAGUAUCUAAGGCUCCCUUGUGACAUAUUUAAAAGGUGAAAGUUUGAUGGAGUGUUCCUUGGGCUGACACGAGUUCUGAGUAUUUCUUAUAGAUUCUUAUUCGGUUAAAAAAAGAGAUAUAAUAUCUGGUUCACAACUGUAAAUCAAAGGAUUUUUAAGUUUAGGGCCUGAGCCUGCAGGGUUCUAAAUACACAAGUAGUCCUAAUAGCUCAUUUCCACAAAUAAGGAUUUGCAGAAUCAUCUCAGUAGAUCCAAACUUUUAUUAGUAUUAUUAUUAUUUUAAUAAAUAAAAGCUAUCAAAGUAAUUUGAACUUCGAGACAAGUUAAAUAAUUUUUUAGGAGCCCAAAGAGGAGACUUUUCCAGCAGUGCAGUUACAGAGUGUGACUCGUGUACAGGCUGAAGCUGUCUCUCAGGAGUGCUGCAGUUGUCAGUUACCAUUAGAAUCCAUUUUUCAAGUGUUGAUUGGCUCUAGAACAGUUUUUUUGCUGAAAUUUGGCUUACAUUAAUUUUGUUGUAGAGCUGGUCAGUAUGUUUGCUGUAGAAGUGCUCAGCGUGGCUGUUUUGUGCCCCAAAGAGCAGUGAAGCUUUGCAGAGAGCUCUGGGGUGUGUUUUACUUUCUAACUCCCUGUUUCUGCUGUCACAGUUCUUGUUUAGGCAAACUACCACUGAUUUUGUUGGAAAUUAACCCUGCAAUAAGGGCUGUAGUGCUGGCCCCUUAAAAACUGUUGGUGUGGCUAUUGCAAAUAGUGUGCUCGACUUCGUGGGCUGUUUUGCAAUAUCUAGUUGUAAUGAGCUGAAGAGAUAAAAAUGUGCAGGCUUCUUUGCUGAAGUGCUUCCCGUGUGCAACUUUCCAUGGCCACUUUUACCACUCGCAGAAUAGGUGCAUGCUUGAGCCUCUACAGACCUUGUUGCCUAAAUCACAAUCUGAUAGCUGACAUUGCAUGCUUGCUGCUCUGCUCGGCUGAAGGAGCUGCUGCAGACAUCUUUGUCAGCUCAUCAGUGCUUUCUUUAAGGACUUUCUGCUGCUUUUUUUUUUCAAUAGCAACUUAAAGAAUUUUCCUAAAAGAGAGAUGUGGCUGUGAAGGCACCCUGUGCUUGGUUAUUACAGCACAUUAGCCCUCCUUUGAAACCCCUUUGAUAGCUCAGACAUGGCUAGUUUAAUUUUAGGUAUCUGAAAGAAGGGAAUUUUAUGGAUUUUGUUCAUUUUAACUAGGUCUAACCCUAAUAUUAUUUUAAAAUGGAGUUUUGUGUUCUGUUAAAUUUAAAUAAACCUUAGCUUUUGUUAUUAGUUUAGACAUGUAGCCAAACAUCUCUAUGGCAAGGAUUUGAGGCUGGUGUACUUAAACUUCAAUUUUUAAUUCUCUCUUGGUGAAGUGAUCCUGCAAAACACUUGUAAAAGAGGAACAAACAAGCCACAAAGUCUUCGGGAAAAAUAGUUAAAAAAUGCUAAUUGACAUAUUUAAAUGCUUACGCUUCCCCCUCAAAGCCAAAUGCAUGAAAAUAGGCUCUUGCUUGCAUUUAUUUAUUUAUUUCAACAACAACAAGAAGCAGUGCAGAAAUGUGUGCAGACCCAGGCGUUUAAGCUGUGGGUAAGGGAAGAGAAAAAUAGAAUUAAGAGUUAUCAUAAAUGUUCAGCUACUGUAUUGAUAGCUUGUUUAACCCACCUUGUUUGGGGCUGCUGCUCACACACCAGCAGGAAGAAGAGCCUGUAUGAAGAUGUGAGUGCGAAUUCAGUAGUGCUCUUAAAUAAGCCCCUGUUUCUGGCUUUGUCAAGCUUGAAUUUAAUUUAAAUACAUGGAUAUCCACAGUAGCUUUUUGGUUCUGUGUCUGUUGGAGGGUUUUGGGGUUUGGGUUUUUUUUCUUAUUUUUUUUUAAUUUUUUUUUCCUAGAACAUGGUAUGUUCUGUUACAUUCCCAAUUUUUACAGCAAUAUUUGGAGGAAAAUUACUGCUUUUCAGUAAAAUAUGACAAUCAAUUUAAUUCAAUUAACUGAGAUAAUUAAUUUAAAACAAGAGAUCGGCAGCAUCUGUAUUUUUAAUUUGUGCAGUGCUCUAAAAUCCUGGUAGUGUGCAAAUACCUCCAAAGUAAUUACACCUUUCCCUUAUUGAAGUCAGUGUGAAGAGUUUGCUUCUUAUUUCUUGUGAGUAUUCUCUGGUUGGUUGGGUUUUUAUUUUUCCUGAUUUUUUUUUAUGACUUCAAACCAAAAAUGUUCAUCAUUUUAUCCAUGCAUUUGUUAAUUGUUAUGAAGAGGAUUUUUUAAAUUAUUAUUUUUAAUUAUUUUUUUUACCUCCCCUGAGGAAUAUGGGUUUAAGUAGCAAUAUGAAAGUUAACAUAAAUAUUUGGUAAAUACUGUAAUUUUCAACAUGAUCCAGAGUCUUCCCAACUUGAAAUGAUAAUUUCUUACAUCAAUAUAUUUGCCAUAUAUUAUAAUUCACUUGGACUUAGUGAAAAUUGUGGGGAAGCCAGGAAUCCCAGUGCACCUGAGAAACAAAAAGCAGUUGAGUUAGAAUUUCUGUGCUGUUAGAGCAAUGCUUUUCCUGGUUGAACAGGCAGAUACUCUGGUCUGAAGGGAGUUAACACUCAAGUUAUCCUGCAAACAAUUUGCUUCCCCCCUGUUACAAACUAUUACACGUCUUACUACAGAUCAGGAAUUAGAAAAGGAGGAUGCUCCAUCUGUUGUGAAACGUUGUAACAGCUCUUAUGAGAAAGCCUGACUAUAAAUAUAUGCAAAAGUCUAUUGCAGAGCAGAGUUCUCUGACACGAGUCUGACAGUACCAGCAGUAUCUUGCACAGGCAGACAAACCCCUUAGCAAAAGGGGGAAUGGCCUUCUGCUAAUGUACUCCUUUCUGAUGCUCCCCUUAAGAUUUCUCCAGGCUCAAAGGAGAAGGCAGAAUGAUGCUGUCAGCGACAGGCACAGCAGUUACACAAGCAGCAGGGAAAUGUGUAUUUUUCUUCGUCUGUUUUAUAACCUGACUGAGUCUGUUUCAGUUCUCAGGCAGUGUGGCUGUUAGUUCAGGGGCUGUGGUGCUGUCUGACAGGCAUUUCUUUGUUUUAUUCUUUAUUUAAAAAAGAAAAAAAAAUGGUUCAUAUGUUGAUUUUCAGUGCUGUGUGUGUGGUGGCUAUAAUCUAUCUGAUAUGGAAGGGUUACCAGGUCCUAAAUUCAUUACCUCUCUGGUCAGUUUGAGAGUAGAGGAAAAUGUGGUUUGAAAUAAGAUCAGAAGAAAACGCUUGGGCUUUUCUUUCUGGAAUUAGCAGGUUUGAAAUGAGGACUGUUGUUUGCACAGUGCCUGUUUGCAUCCAGGUUUGGAGUGCAACUACAAGAUCCUCGAAUCAGCAGGGAGAGAAUAAUUCCUUCUAGAGUGUUAGUGCUCGUAGGCUGGGCUCUGUUUUUACACCACCAGCUCCUCAGUUUUCAUUAAAGUUUUGAUUCCAGCUCUGUCACUGUAAUUACAGUGGAUCUGGCUGUCAGUGCCUCGUGUUUGUUUCAGGAAAUGAUAUUUUUGUGAAACUGCAUAAGAAACUGAUGGAAGUGUAAAAUACAAAAACGUUCCUAAGUUCCCUCUUAAACUUGCUGUCCUUGAUUUUUAUCUCCCUAUUUAGAAGUGCAGAUUUCCUCUUGCAUUUUUGGUCUGUAAUCCUCAGUUUGCCAAUCUCUCAGUCUUCUGACACGAAAAUGAUCCUUCAAAAACUCUGCUCGGUUGUUGGUUUUGUUGUGUUGUUGUUUUUUUUUCCUCAAAGUUUUAUUUUUAGCUUAAUAAAACUUAAGUUGUUGACCCACUUUUCCAUUAUGUAAAAACCUGAGCAGAAUUUGUCAUUGAGGCAGGAAUUUGUGAAGGCUAACACUAGAGGGCAAUUCGAAGCAAGAGUCUGCCUGCCCUGCAGCUCUUACGGUCCCUCUUGAAAAAUGGGGAGCCUAUGGGGGCUGUCCCUUUGCCCCCCAGGCGGCAGCCAGCCCAUGUAAUCACACUCCUCAAUCUUCUAUUUAACUCUCUGUUUGUAUCCAGUACACAACCUGAGGGUAUUUCUGAGUGCUCUGCUGAAUGAGAAGGAACUUAAGCCAGGUCCUGUGUUUUGCUGCAUUAUCUGUUAACAAACCUCUUCUUCCCAUCUCCUUUCCUUCCCUCUUGCUGCUAUCGGAAAGGCAUAAUGCAUUCAGUGGCCUUCUUUUGUUUUAUCUGGUGGGUAUUAAUAUGCUCAUAACCUGCUGCACUGAACCCUCUGGAAGUGAUGCGAAAGAUGCUGAGUUUGGGUAGGUGAGGUAACACUGUGCUGAAAACCAAAUGCCUUUUAUUUUUAAGCAUCAAAGAAAAUAAAAUGGUGAGUGAGGGAAAAAGUCUGAAUAGGUUGAAAUGCAUUGAGGGCUGGUUUUGUGGAACCAAUUGUAACAAAUUUACAGUAAUACUAAUAGCCAGGGUAAUGCUGCUAAAUUAUCUAGAUUAACAAGGAAAAUAUACUAAUUUAAAUUGUAAUGAAAUACAUUUAUAAGGGAUCAGAGGGAUAGAUGAUGCCUGUAAUUUUACCAAACCAGUGUAUGUAAUGUAAAAACGGAGUUGAAGUGAGAUGAUCACUCCCCCACAGUUAAAUACAGCACUUGAUUGCUCAUCUGUGUGUAUUGUGCAGGAUUUAAACAAUUUACAUAACAGUGCAUUACAUAAUAAACGAUAGUUUUCACAGGUUCAUUGUGAUGGACUGGACAUCCCCGUUGCUUGUCAACAGCAACCUGUAGUGCAAAGGGGUGAUGUCAUGGUUCUUGAAAUGCACUCAAGGAUUCUUAUUUUAGCAAUGCAGAUUCUCUCAUUGUAUCGAAAGGUAACAUACAGCAGUGUAAAUGUCUGGAAGUGCCACGGUGCAGGUUUCAAUGUGGGGUAUUUUACACAUGGGUGUUGAUAUCUAUCUAUAGAGUUGCACAUUAUUAUAUAUACUUCUGUAUAAAAGGGCUGAUCUGAGUUUCAAGUGGUGUGGUCGUUCCUGUGUUAUAAAGCAGCUUUUCAAGUAGUAUUACUUUCACACCCCUUGCACAAUGUAUUUUAGAGGUCUAAAACUUAUUCUUUCAUUACCUGCUUUUUAGGUUUUAAUAAGGAUUAUGCAUAGAAAUAUUUCCAUGCAUUGUUGCAGUGAAUAUUUACACUUAUCUCUGCAGGUCUGGUCUGCAGCUUCAGUGCAGUUUGGAAAUGUAAUCUGCUGGCAACGAUGUGCCCAAAGUUAAUCAGAAUUUAUGGAAGGAAGGUUGUUUCAUCCUAUAGUGUGUAGUUCUGACCUGGAUGAAACCGACAGAAGGAAACAAUAAUAAUAUGGAGGGGAAAGGAAAAAAGAAAAGAGGAUAAAGGAAUGCUUCAGUGAUGAGUCCCUGGAUCCUAGAGGAGGCUUUUGUUUUAUUUGGGGGGGAUGUGGAGAAUGGGCAAGGAAUUAUCACUGACCAUGGUUAUUAGCUAGAACAAAUCCUAACUGCGCAUUAAGCUCAUUCUUGAGAGCAUGAAUGUUUAAUACAAAAUCAAACUGAAUAUUCAGGUGCUUAAACCAAGCACGCAUAUAAGCUGUUAAGAAAUUGAAUUCUUAGUGCUCUGCAGGUAAAACACUCUCAAUUUUUGCCAACAUGCAUAUUUUAUCUUUUUUCUUGUUUUUUUUUUCUCCUUUUACUAGCUUGAUUUUUGGCCUUAAAUCAGCUAAAGGAGUUCAGUUGUUAACGUUUCAGGCUGUCUUUGGAAUUUUAUUAUUUGAAGAAAGCAAGAACAAACGAUUGAGUAUGAGCAGCGUGCAGAGCAGUGCUGCGAUAUUGUUCUGUUCUGCCUUUAAGCAGGUGGUUUCUUGUGGCAGGCUGGAAGAGAGAUUCUUUUUCUUCCCAGCUUUUGACAAAAAGAUGACGCAUAUGUCUCAGAAUUAGAAGGGGAAAUCUGCCAGUUUGCAUCAGUUCCUCAACUUGUGGGUUGCUUUUCACCACAAGGAAAAUUGGUAUAUUCGCACCAAUGCUUCUUGAGAGAUGAGGAGUAAUCGUUUCCUUCAGAAAGUGUAGGAUGAUUGGGGUAGGCCCUUCGUAUGUUACACCAGGCUUUUCCUAUAAGAGAUCUUUCAAGUGUAUUAAAUAUUUAGGAAGAAAACAAAGCAUGUUCUUAAAUGCUGCUCUUAAUGCUUGAAAUAGGGAUCAUGCAUCUUAUAACAUAAUGCAGAGGAAAAGCAGAGGAAUCUGCUUCCUUUCGAAAAUAUUAAGCUUCUCUUCAGCUGGAAUUGUAACUCAAAAGAGCCCUGUAGAUCUCCAUAGCCGAAAGCGCAUUUCGAUUGCUGUCCAUCACUUCCACUGUAGCCUCAGUAUUGCCAUUCCAAAUGACUGUUUGUUGACAUGACUGCAGUGAAGGACCGGUGCACCUCCUACAACAGAACAUGCAAAUCAGUAGCUCUCCGGAUAGUCUAAAUAUGUUUGUUUAUGAUCCUUGGAGGAAUGGCUGGACACAUGUUAUAGAUUCUCCAAUUUUAGCAACACAAGGUUGGAAAGGGUGACAGUGAACAGCGAAGCAAUAGCUGUGCUUGCAUAGUGUAUCUGCGUUACUUUGCAGUGAUGAACAAGUAACCCAAACAAAGGAAUAUGGUUGUGUGUGAAUGGUGUCUGAUAUCAACAUGGAAGAGCUCUUGCUUGGGAAGGCCAUGGUGGAGAGACUUAAUGAAGUUAUCUGUACACAGGAUCCCCUGCUUUUAUUGAGGCCUCCUCAGUAAUUUGUCCCCCAACAACAACUGAAGACAUAAGGAUAGAGGAGCAAACACUGGAAAGAAUGAGAGGAAGACUUAGACUUUCCCACCUGUGGCCUGCAAAACGUCUUUGUGCUUACAAAGAUAGUCUUGUUAAUUUAAGAGGGUGAUUUCAUCCUACACUGGCUAGAAGACUCCUUGCAGUGGAAAGAAGUACAUGGGUUGAAUCUGUGGGAAUCUUUCAUUGAGACAAUUGAAAUUGCUGCAGUGAGAAUGGAAAUGACUUGGGAUCCUUUCCUUUAAAAGCUGUAUGCAAGAACUGUGUGGUGAUUCAAACUUGGACUAAUGGUUAUGUAAAUGUCACUAAUUUUAGAUACAGUCAAGAUCUGAAAGUGUUUCCUUUCAGAAUUUUAUUUUCUUCACUGUCGUGACUCAGUAUCAGUUGCUAAUCUUGUUUUAUUAGCCCUGUUAUAUAUUGCCAUUAAAACACUGAUUUGAAGACUGCGUGUAUCUUACAACUUGAAGUUUAUACAACGUAUAGGUGUUUUAAAUAGAGAAAAAGAAGGCUAUCUGCACUAGGGAUUUUUUUUGACUCCAGUGAUCUGCUACUGGUGCAGUUACACAGGUGCAAACAUGAUAUAGAUGAAAAUGGCCAUCCAUGCUGUCUCUCUCUUGGAUCCAAUAUUUAAUAUCUCUGGGCUGUAUCUCUGAGGUUUCAGAGAGUGUGGUUGUAAGUCUAAAAAGCCAGUCAGAGAGAUCUGAGAGCAUACAAUGACCAGAUCUGUUUGCAUGGUAUUGCUAUGUGAAUGGUGAAAUAGACUUUUUUCUGCUUCUCCAUGCAAACCCCUGUACUGACACAAGGCAGAAAGUCGGAAGCAGCAGUAAAUACGAGCUUGCACUGCUUUGUUUAGCCGUAAAGGUUAAUGGUGAUGAAAAUACGGUUUGAGUAUUUGCAAAACCAAGACUCAAACAAGGAAUGAAAGUUCUAGUCUGGAUUGAGUGUCAAGAGUAUAAUUUCAAGUGCUUGUGAAGACCUUUCCAUGUUAUUUAGUUCCUAAAUCUUUGAAAAAGAUGUCACCUUUUUUGCAUGGUUCAUUGUUGCCUUAAAUAGUAGCUGUUAUGUUUUCCAGGGAUAAACCUGCAAGGAUGCACUGUCUCCAGUGGAGGAAUGGAACUCCUACAUUUGCAGCUCUGACAUCCUAUGGAUUGUGCCUGACUGAAGGAAGUGAAAGUGUAUUAAAUUCAAUCCAAAUGCUUAUUUUUCUGCUAGUCUUAGUAAUGGUGAAGGGAAGAAGAUGCUUAAUUCAUAAAUAAGGAGAAUAAAAGAAAAACCUGCUUGAAAGCAUCUAGAGAUGAGUUGCCACUCAAGAGUGAGGACAGCUGGUGAGAGGAGCAUGUCAAAAAGAGGUAUGAAACUGCGAAGUUGGAAGGGCUGGUACAGGUUAGGCAAAGAUUUAGGGAUUUGUUUGUUUCUUGAAGAUGGAAGAAGCAGCAGCUUCACAGAAUUAACCCUGCUUGAUUCUGUAGAGAGAAAAUCAGGCUUUAGGAAAGCAGAUCAAUGUUAACGUUUAUUAGAAUGCUUAGCACUUGAGUCAGACUGUUACACAGGAGUUUUUGCGAUGAAAUCGCUGUCGCUUUCAAUUCUCUCUCAUCCAAUUCCACACAGAAAAGGGCAACUUUAUUACUACAGUCUGCUGCUUCAUGAAAUUUUGUCCUGAAAAGGCAUCCCAAAAAUCAGAAAGUAUUUGAGGGGCCUCUGGAGAUCACCCAGCCUAAGCAGGAUCAGGCAGAACAGGUCUCUCAGGGCUGUACCUGAUCUUAAUUUGCCCCCUUGUGUUGGUCUACUGUGAAGCAACCUUCAUGAUCACACGGAAUAUACAAUGAUAGGACCAGCAUGGUAUGCUGCUGAGUCAGGAAAGAUGUUUGUAGGCUGUGCAAGGAAGAAGCCCAACACUGCUGCAGAAAAAGGUUGAAAAUGUAGGGAAAGCCUACAAACCAAAGCCUACAAGCAGGAGAAACCGUCUUCAUGUUUACAUGAAAUGAGAAAUCCUAGGAACUGGAUGUUAGAUCUUUCUGUCUUUAUUUUUGUAUGGUGCUGAACAAAUCACUAGGUCGUUGAUUUUUGUAGCAUUCAUGUUCCUUGCUUCACAGGUGACUUUAAGCCAUCGUUUCCAACAGAAACACUGAUGUCCACGUUUGCAGCUGAUGUGCAUAAGAACAUGAAUUCAAACUUUAUGUAAUGUUAUGUCUGGCUGUAGUUUCCUACAUAUUUUAAGUGGGAUACCUCUAACUGUUGGGUACUGCUGUAGUUUCUGUAUCUUCGUGUUAUAUUUAAAGUAGGAACGAUAGUCACUUGAAGGGAUAUUUUUCUAUUUUGGCUUGUUUCAAGCUUUGUUUAGUAGAUGUGCUACAUGGAUGUGCUUCCUCAUGGGAUUUUCUGUGGUGCUUAUGACUUCAGAUGACAGAGAAAGAGAUGAGUGCUGUGUGUUACCGUGUUAGCAGUUCAAGUAGAAUCACUUGGUCAGCACCCUAAACAGUUUAUUUCCUUUGGAAGUUAUUUAACAGUUCUCAGGUACAGCUCUGUUGUUCAGAAUCUGACUCACUUUUAAUAGUCCUGUGUUAAUAAAUCAAAUUUAACUUAUGCCCAGUAUCUCUUAUCUUACUGUAAAACUUGAUCCCUGUAUUCAAAAUUUCUGAAAUAAACUUUAAUUAUAGUAACAUUUAUCUAUGUUAA